GAUGAACGCUAGCGGCAGGCUUAAUACAUGCAAGUCGAGGGGCAGCAGCUCUGUAGCAAUACAGAGGCUGGCGACCGGCAAACGGGUGCGGAACACGUACACAACCUUCCUUUAAGUGGGGAAUAGCCCGGGGAAACCCGGACUUAAUACCCCGUAACAUUAUGGAAGUGGCAUCACUUUAUAAUUAUAGCUCAGGCGCUUAAUGAUGGGUGUGCGGCUGAUUAGAUAGUUGGCGGGGUAACGG
rnacentral:rRNA from 1 species